rnacentral:rRNA from 1 species
CCUACGGGAGGCAGCAGUGAGGAAUAUUGGUCACUGGUCGCGAGCCUGAACCAGCCCAGUAGCGUGAAGGAUGACUGCCCUACGGGUUGUAAACUUCUUUUAUCAAGGCAUAAAGUGAGGCACGUGUGCCUUUUUGUAUGUACGUUAUGAAUACGGCUCGGCUAACUCCUUGCCAGCGGCCGCUGUAAUACGGAGGAUCCGAGCGUUGUACGGAUUUAUUGGGUUUAACGGUAGCGUAGAUGGGUUGUUGAGUCAGUUGUGAAAGGUUGCGGCUCAACCGUAAAAUUGCAAUUGAUACUGGCAGUCUUGAGUACAGUUGAGGUAGGCGGAAUUCGGGGUGUAGCGGUGAAAUGCUUAGAUAUCACGAAGAACUCCGAUUGCGAAGGCAGCUUACUAAACUGCCACUGACAUUGAUGCGCGAAAGUGUGGGUAUCAAACAGGAUUAGAUACCCGAGGAGUC